rnacentral:rRNA from 1 species
CCAGAGUCCUACGGGAGGCAGCAGUGGGGAAUCUUCCGCAAUGGGACGAAAGUCUGACGGAGCAACGCCGCGUGAGUGAUGACGGCCUUCGGGUUGUAAAGCUCUGUUAAUCGGGACGAAAGGCCUUCUUGCGAAUAGUGAGAAGGAUUGACGGUACCGGAAUAGAAAGCCACGGCUAACUACGUGCCAGCAGCCGCGGUAAUACGUAGGUGGCAAGCGUUGUCCGGAAUUAUUGGGCGUAAAGCGCGCGCAGGCGGAUCGGUCAGUCUGUCUUAAAAGUUCGGGGCUUAACCCCGUGAGGGGAUGGAAACUGCUGAUCUAGAGUAUCGGAGAGGAAAGUGGAAUUCCUAGUGUAGCGGUGAAAUGCGUAGAUAUUAGGAAGAACACCAGUGGCGAAGGCGACUUUCUGGACGAAAACUGACGCUGAGGCGCGAAAGCCAGGGGAGCGAACGGGAUUAGAUACCCCGGUAGUCCUGGCCGUAAACGAUGGGUACUAGGUGUAGGAGGUAUCGACCCCUUCUGUGCCGGAGUUAACGCAAUAAGUACCCCGCCUGGGGAGUACGACCGCAAGGUUGAAACUCAAAGGAAUUGACGGGGGCCCGCACAAG